AGAAUCAACGCUGGCGGCGUGCCUAACACAUGCAAGUCGAACGAGAAAGUGGAGCAAUCCAUGAGUAAAGUGGCGCACGGGUGAGUAACACGUGACUACCUACCCUUGAGUGGGGGAUAACCUAGGGAAACCUGGGCUAAUACCGCAUAAUACCUACGGGUCAAAGGAGCAAUUCGCUUAAGGAGGGGUCGCGGCCGAUUAGUUAGUUGGCGGGGUAAUGGCCCACCAAGACGAUGAUCGGUAU
rnacentral:rRNA from 1 species